UUUUGACCCGAUGGAUCGGGUUUAAUCGCUUGAGGUGGCAGAGACGCAUUGUUUGAAGACGCAUUACCUUGGAAUCUGUUAAAUGAUGGGUUUUGCGAUGGAAAUGAUGGGAAUCUAUUGCCGUAGGGUGUGUGCUGAACUGAAGGAAAGGGUUUGUAUGGUGGUCUAGAAUUUUGCCAGCUAUUUUGUGGUUUAUUUAAGGCUGGUUUUUGAAAAGUGACUGGUUGUUUAGGGAACUUAUCCUUUUUUCGUUGAGACGCGUUGUACUGCUCUAUUGCGCUUUGAUGCGCUUCAUUCAAUGAGGCCGGACGAGACACUCUAGUGAGUGUCGAGUAGGGUUCGUUCAAACCAUCAAUAUACGCGUUGGUUACCAUGUAUUCAUAGCUUGUUGCUAGUGGUUUAGCACACGCCGCCGUGUCGUUGUCGAGAGAAAUCUUGGCUAUUAUAUCCGCCAAAAGUUCUCUGCAUUCAUUAUAGAAAUCGGUAAUGCUUCUCGAGCCUUGUUGAAGGUAUGAUAUUUUGGUGACAAGUGUACCGAGAUCUCUCUUGUCCCCAAAAUAUUCUCUCAAAGUGCUUUGUAUAUCAGCCCACACAACCGGAGUAUGGUUUGACACCAAAGCUUCGUUAGCUUUAUCAACGAUUUUGUCUCGUAUGAUGCUAGUCCAUAGGGGCAUAGCACGAUCGAUGUCUUGCUGUGACGGGCAAGUUGCUUCCGCAAAUUUAAUUUUAUCUUCGACUGAUUUCAGCCAGGUUGCUAGUAAUUUGGGGUCGCCGGCAUACGGUACGACCAUUUUAAUUGCAUCAGGAAUCUUAGAUGCGUCAAAGUUUGUAGGUAACACUACUGAAGGGACAGGUCGGACCGCCGAAGCCUGCCUAAUUUCCUCCAAAUUUUGUAUUUGGAGCCGUUGAGCCUCCAUUUGGUUGGUGAGUUCAUCAACCAACCUUUGUAAAGCCUCCAUAUUCCUAGUUAUCAUACACUUUAUUCACUUCUUAUAACUAACACUGAAUAGAUAAAAAAAGAUCACUUACCUCGAGUCGACUGGUAUGCAGCCAGCGACGCCAAGAGCGGGUAAGAUGAUUUGGUGACUUCAGUCCCUUGGUGUGAACCGGGAUUUAGAGCGAUGUGGUUCUCUGCGGGGGCGGCGAUUUAUCUCCGUUGCACUUUCACCGGUCACUGGAUGAUCCGCGCACUGCACUUAAACCGAUUUUCCAACGCACUCAACGAAUUGCGAUAAUUGCUUAAUGAGUCUUCCUGAUCGCGGCAGGCACACUUGAUUUCCGAACGCGGUGGUAGUACUAGGAUUCACCUCCCCGGCAGAAUAGACUGCGCCAGCUUUGAGUUCGGCUUUAGGAUCGGGUUUUUUAAAAAACAAAACAGAACUGCACUCGUCGAUUAAUGAACAAAGACUGACUGUCGUUUAUUAUUUUAAGCUUACAAAGGCCUGGCUAGGAAGAGGAAUGGUUCCCUGGCUAAUUUACCAUAUGCGUAAUUGGAUCGCGUCGUCCGGUGGCGCGAUGCUGACAUGCUGGUUUCAGUAAGGUUGAAGACAGGUGUGGAUUCCGUGGAAACUGCUGAUCUUGCUCAUCGUCCGUUGUGUGGCUCGUUCAAAGUUGCUAGCGAUGUUGCUAACUGUUGUUGUUGUUGUUGGAUGUCUCCUAGUUGGCUAAGUAUGGCUUCUUCGGAGUUGGGGCAAACUGAUGCGAUAACUUAUAUAU